rnacentral:rRNA from 1 species
UGGGGGAUAUUGCACAAUGGGCGAAAGCCUGAUGCAGCGACGCCGCGUGGGGGAUGAAGGCCUUCGGGUUGUAAACUUCUUUUGCUCUGAACAAGGCAUGCUAAUGGGUGUGUUGAGUGUAGGGGUUGAUUAGCGCCGGCUAACUACGUGCCAGCAGCCGCGGUAAUACGUAGGGCGCGAGCGUUGUCCGGAAUUAUUGGGCGUAAAGGGCUUGUAGGUGGCUGGUUGCGUCUGUCGUGAAAGCUCAUGGCUUAACUGUGGGUUUGCGGUGGGUACGGGCUGGCUUGAGUGCAGUAGGGGAGGCUGGAAUUCCUGGUGUAGCGGUGGAAUGCGCAGAUAUCAGGAGGAAUACCGGUGGCGAAGGAGGGUCUCUGGGCUGUUACUGACACUGAGGAGCGAAAGCAUGGGGAGCGAACAGG